UGAGGAUCUCAAAGUGGCCCAGCAUGCAGUCUGGCUAUACAGAGGUUCUAUAUUUUGGCAAGGAUGGGCCAGAGGUGAUGUGCUUAAUUAAGUACAUUGUAGCAGGAGGAACAGUUACCAACCUCUGCCAGGACUGGUGAUUCUACAUCGAGCUCUUGCUGGAGAAGGAGCCUGCAAGCCCUGCUCUCUCUCUUGGUGGGAGAGAGAUAUUUUGGGUCUGUAUAAUCAUUCUUUUUCUCAUUAUGCAUGCUACUAAUUUUAGCAACAAUUAAUAAUACUCAC
rnacentral:lncRNA from 1 species